rnacentral:rRNA from 1 species
AAACUAACAAGGAUUCCCCUAGUAACGGCGAGCGAACCGGGAAGAGCUCAAAUUUGAAAUCUGGCGUCCUCAGGGCGUCCGAGUUGUAAUCUACAGAAGCGUUUUCCGUGCCGGACCGCGUCCAAGUCCCUUGGAACAGGGUAUCAAAGAGGGUGACAAUCCCGUACUUGACACGACCACCGGUGCCAUGUGAUACGUCUUCAACGAGUCGAGUUGUUUGGGAAUGCAGCUCAAAACGGGUGGUAAAUUCCAUCUAAGGCUAAAUAUUGGCGAGAGACCGAUAGCGAACAAGUACCGUGAGGGAAAGAUGAAAAGCACUUUGGAAAGAGAGUUAAACAGUACGUGAAAUUGUUGAAAGGGAAACGAUUGAAGUCAGUCGUGUCCGAGGGGUUCAGCCGGUUCUGCCGGUGUAUUCCUCUCGGACGGGUCAACAUCGGUUUUGGCCGGCGGAAAAGGGCACGGGGAAAGUGGCACCUCCGGGUGUGUUAUAGCCCCGCGUCGCAUACGUCGGCCGAGACCGAGGAACGCAGCUCGCCUUUAUGGCCGGGGUUCGCCCACGUACGAGCUUAGGAUGUUGACAAAAUGGCUUUAAACGAC